CUCAACAAAAUGGGCCCUAUUUUUCAGUUAACUUGGAGAAAGAAAGACAAGGCCCUGACUUGUAAGGCCCAAUACCUCCUCAAACGUCAGGCGUUCCCUCUGAUAAACGCGGUGGUCGAAUUCCUUCCCGCGGUUGCGUCGAUACUCUUGAGCCGCCGUCGAGGCGCAUUUGCCCAUCUGCUGUCCCUUCAGCUUAAUCAUGGUCCGAGCAACAUUUCCCUUCAGCUUAAUCAUGGUCUGGCAGCUCAUGAAUUUCUAUAUCUUCUACCAUCCAGGUGACCUUUACUGUCAUGAUUCUUCAUGGCUGAUACACAGAUCAAAUGGCUAAAUAAUUGGUAUCGGAUAUUGAACACCCUCUCUGGCGUUAUUCUCUUCUUUUGUUUCUCCCAGCUUUGGCAUUAGACACUUAUAUCACGAGAGAUACGGAACACACUUUCAUAUUGGUGAACGGUACUGACAGAGCCAAAUUAUCUUGACCCAGUCCAAAACAACACCAGACAGACCCAGCCAAAGGUCCCUUAAUUCGCAAUCUUUGUCCUAAGCUCACAUCAACAACUAGGAUUACAAAUUACAGAUUAUUAACAUGGACCCUAGAUACACUGGAGAGAUUUUGAAGCAUUUGGAGAAGCAAAACGAGCUCCUCACGGAAGCAAAAAUAUCAAUGUCUGAGGAAUUGCACCAACUGAAGGUCGAAGAAGAAAUGCUGAUGCGUAAGUUUUAUGAGAUAAUGUCAGCUCAUGGUAAACUUAAAAAGAAUGAAGGUUGUGGUACAGUUUCAGAUGACGGUGAAAUUGGACGAGGACCGUUGAUGACUUCAAAUUCUGUUUUCACAUUGUCGAAUGAAUGUGUAUGUAGUAUUGAAUAGUGUACCUCCUUUUACUACUUAAGCCAAGUUUCGAUCAACGUUAUGUUGUCAAACGGAUCAAAUAGUUGCGGAGCGUGAAUUCUAUGAGAUAAAUGCCGCAUUAGGGUUUCAAGAUCCGAAAAUUUUUGCAUCACACCAAUGAUGCUGGAUUCUGCAUCUGUAAAUUGUAGAGUUACACUUUCUUGUUUAGAUCAAUUGUUUGAUGCGAUAAUAUACUCUAUCUUUCAGCAGCACCACUUUUAUUCAAUGUGCUUCCAGGCUGCUUAUUACA